ensembl:lncRNA guanylate-binding protein 4-like
UUUGAAUUCCAAGAUAUAAAAGUAUAACAAUGCACACCUACAUACAUCAUAGUCCUAAAAGAGGACUCAGUUUGGGGAAAUACCCAAACAAACUGCCUACAUUUUGACCUCAGUCUGUACUUUUUAACUGAUUAAGUACUCUUAAGACCAGCAAGACCCUAUGUGGUGUCCUCCUUGAAAUAAGUCCCUUUCUGUUUCACCACUGCUGGCCUCUCUGCCUUUGGGUUUUGUCAAUGACAAGUGGCUAGACCCAGUCUGCUUGGGACCCCUGAAGCCAGGUAACCCUUGUGCCCUUGGAUUCUACUAACAGUCCACUUGUGCACAGACAAGCUGGGGACAAAAUAAAGAAGGCUAGUUAGGGCGAUAUUUACUCAGGUCUAACUGCAGAGUGACUGGGAUCCACAAACUGCCCUCUAUACCUUAUCAGGCUCUGGUGGCUUUGCUCCCACAUGCCUUCUCCAAAUAUUUAACACACCAUGAAGUUCUUUUACUAUCACAGUUUCCUCCUCCAUUUCACUCCUCAACUUCCUCAAUUUGUUUUCAGUUUCUGGGGGCGGAGAAAACAGAAAACGGGUGAGUUGAGAGGCAGCUGGAAGCUCAUUCUUGAACAGACCAGCAGGUCUGCAACUAUGGAGCAGGGCUGAGGAUUCUGAUGGUGACCUCUACGGAUGCCUCCAACAGUGGAACGGUUCCUUGUCUAGACAAUGUGGUGAUACACCUGUCUACUGUGAGAAAAUAGUGACUCUGCAGAGUCAAAUUCCCACAAAAAUGGUCCUGGCACUACCACAUCUGGACAGUGAGGCAAUCUUCACAGCGGAGUCCUCCCAAUAUGAGGAAUUACAGCAGCAGUACAUGGACUUGCUGCAGAUAAAGAAUGAACUAGAAGAAAGCUGUAUAAAGAAAGAUAAGCUUCUCCGUGAUGUACAACAAGCCUUAGCAGAAGAGCAGGCCAAAAGAGAGGCAGCUGAGAAGGAAAAGCAGCUUCUUGAGGAAAGGUGUAAACAGCUGCAGAAAAGGGUAGAGCUUCUAGAAAAAUGUUUCAAGGAAUCUAUGAUCCAAAUGAAAGAGCAGAUAAAGAGAGAAAGAGAAGUCCUUCUGAAAGAGCAGAAUAAGAGGAUUGAGAGGCUUGAGGCCCAAAUGAAAAACAUGACUAAUAAUCGGAAAAGCGCUAAAAACUACCCCACUCUAAUGGAAAUGGCAGAUGACAGUGAAGAAGAUAUUCCGCAGCCUUCAUGGUGGUCUAAAAUUUGUGAGCUGAUAGAAGAGUUGUGUUCCCUAAUUGUCAAGUUUUUCUCUUGUGGAUAAUUUCAGAUACCUGUGCACAGUAUUUGGACUUCUUCAAGCAACCUCUCUUACAGACCCUCACUUUUAUUUUGCAGACAGGUUUCUCCUUGAAAUCUUAGAGUUCCCAAAUCCCCCAAACUGGGCAGGGUGCCCCUUUUUUGUGCUUUCAUUGUACCUAUAGCAUGAUUUUGAAAAUGUGAAUUAUCCAAUUACUCUGUCUUGCUGAUGAUGCCUUGCCACCAGAGACUAGUUUAUCUUUAUCAUUGUCUUCUUAGCUUCUAUUUCUAUGUCCAGCACUUGAUUAGUAUCUGGAAAAUGUUAGUUGAAUAAAGUUCCCCCACGUUCUAUAUCCUCA